GACGAACGCUGGCGGCGUGCUUAACACAUGCAAGUCGAACGGUGAAGGGGUCUGCUUUUGUGGGCCCUGGAUGAGUGGCGAACGGGUGAGUAACACGUGAGUAACCUGCCCCCUUCUUCUGGAUAACCGCAUGAAAGUGUGGCUAAUACGGGAUAUUCUGGGUCUGUCGCAUGAUGGGUCUGGGAAAGAUUGCGCCUUUGGGUGUUUUUGGUGGGGGAUGGGCUCGCGGCCUAUCAGCUUGUUGGUGGGGUGAUGGCCUACCAAGGCGGUGACGGGUAGCCGGCCUGAGAGUGUGGACGGUCACACUGGGACUGAGACACGGCCCAGACUCCUACGGGAGGCAGCAGUGGGGAAUAUUGCACAAUGGGCGCAAGCCUGAUGCAGCGACGCCGCGUGAGGGAUGGAGGCCUUCGGGUUGUAAACCUCUUUCGCCAGUGAAGCAGGCCUGCUCCUUGUGGGUGGGUUGACGGUAGCUGGAUAAGAAGCGCCGGCUAACUACGUG
rnacentral:rRNA from 1 species